CUCUGCUUAUGCUUUCCCAGGCCUGUAGUCCUUGUUCAUCAGAAUCCGGAGGGGGUAGUGCACAGCUCAGAAAGUCCUUUAAUGAGGGGCUGCUUGUUUUAUGACAUCUUGCACCCUCAGCAUCAGUAGCUGUAAGGACUGAAAGUCUCUCUUGCUGUUGCUUCACAGAGAAUCAGUAAGCAUGACUUUCAAGGAAGUGCUAACCCAUCCGUUCAAAACCUGAACUGAUCCUUGUAAGGAGGAAGGUCCAGACUCGACGAGCUUCUGAUCUCCCCAUCUUCCCUCGGUCCCGGACUCCAGGGCCCCAGGAAUCUCAGUGACCUCAGGGGUCUUCGUGAUCUUGGAGAUCUCAUGGGACUGGACAUGUCUAACCAGUAUGUCAGGAAUCCAAACAGAAGAAGUGGAAUCCUGUGGAAACACGCAAGCAUACCCUCUCCUGCAAGUUAACAGCACAUCUGGCCCUUUCCACUCUCCGGUGUAAUGAAACAGUAUAGAAUCGAAAUUUAUGAGCAAGCUUUUGGAGAAAGUGCAAUCUGGAGGAAUAUUUGGAGUCAAGAGUAGAGAAUGAGAAGG
rnacentral:lncRNA from 1 species